rnacentral:rRNA from 1 species
UCCGNGUGANGGAUGCGACCCUUCGGUUGGCAGCCUCUUUUAGCAGGGAAGANUCCAAAGUGACGAAUCCCCCAGAAAAAGCGCCGCAUCACUCCGUGCCAGCAGCCGCGGUAAUACGUAGGCGCAAGCGUUAUCCGUAAAUUAUUGGGUAGUAAAGAUCUCGUAGUCGGUUUGUAAAUUCUGNUGUGAAACCCCGAGCCUCNACUUCGACCGUGCAGUGAGUACUGCCAUACUAGAGUGUGGUANNNGAGAUUGAAAUUCCUGAUGUACCGAUGUAAUGCGCAGAUAUCAGGAGGAACGCCGAUGUCGAAGCCAGAUCUCUGGCCAGUAACUGACACUGAGGAGCGAAAGCGGUGGGGAGCAACCAGGAUUAGAUACCCUGGUAGUCCACCCCGUAAACGUUGGGAUCCUAUUUGUGGGGUCCAUUCCUCGAAUUCCGUCACGCAGUUAACGCAUUAAGUUCUCCGCCUGGGGAGUUCGACCGCAAGGCUAAAACUCAAAGGAAUUGCCGGGGGCCCGCCCAAGCGGUGGAUCAUAUGGAUUAAUUCGAUCCAACGCGAAGAUCCUUACCAAGACUUGACAUAUACGAGANCGGCCAGAAAUGCUCAUCUA